rnacentral:rRNA from 1 species
GAUCAUGGCUCAGGAUGAACGCUAGCUACAGGCUUAGCACAUGCAAGUUGAGGGGCAGCAUGUACGGAAGCUUGCUUCCGUUGAUGGCGACCGGCGCACGGGUGAGUAACGCGUAUCCAACCUGCCCUUGUCCAGUCGGAUAACCCGUCGAAAGGCGGACUAACACGAUAUGCAGUCCACAGCAGGCAUCUAACGUGGACGAAAUGUGAAGGAGAAGGAUGGGGACUGUCG